GUUAAAAACAAAAGUCGUGUAUGACGUAAAUAAGACAGAACUCGUUGAGUACGUCAACGUCAAUAGUUCAAAAUCUUAUACUCUUUGUAGUUCAACGUUAACAGCUAAAACUAUUUGGUGUAUUUGUGUAAAAUAAUGAAUUACAAUAGCUAUCGUUGGUGUUUAGUGCCUCGUUGUACAAAUACUAGCAUUAAAAAUCCAGGAAAGUUGUUUAUCAAAGUGCCAGAUGAUACUGAAAUGAGGAAAGUUUGGUUGGAACUUGCAAAACGAGGUCCUAAUUCAUUAUCAACUAAAAGCCGAGUGUAUUUAUGCGAGGAUCAUUUCAAUUUGGAACAAGAUAUGGAGAAUUAUAUGGAAUACAAAAUAAUGGGAUCUGUAAAACAUGUUAAGAUGAAAGUAAACACCACCCCGUCCAGAUUUUGAAAACAAAAUGAAAUGAAAUGAAAA